AACUUUCAGCAAUGGAUCUCUUGGCUCUCGCAUCGAUGAAGAACGCAGCGAAAUGCGAUAAGUAAUGUGAAUUGCAACCCUCGUGAAUCAUCGAAUCUUUGAACGCACCUUGCGCUCCUUGGUAUUCCGAGGAGCAUGCCUGUUUGAGUGUCAUUUAAAUUCUCAACCACGACUGAUUCUUUUCUGGUGUGGCUUGGAUGUGGGGGUUGUCUUCUUGCAGGCUUUUCUGAAAUGAAAAAGUCUGCUCCCCUGAAAUGCAUUAGUGGUAUCUGAGCAGAGAACUUACUACAGGUGUGAUAAUCUAUCUAUGCCUUUUAGUAUGCUGCAUCAACGGAUUGCACUGCUUCUAACAAGUGGAUAACCUCUUCGAGGAGAGGGGGCCCACAUUUGAUGAAUCUGACCUCAAAUCAGGUAGGACUACCCGCUGAACUUAAGCAUAUCAAUAAGCGGAGGC
rnacentral:misc_RNA from 1 species